CCUACGGGAGGCUGCAGUGGGGAAUAUUGGACAAUGGGCGAAAGCCUGAUCCAGCCAUGCCGCGUGUGUGAAGAAGGCCUUCGGGUUGUAAAGCACUUUCAGUGGGGAAGAAAGCCUUGGGGCUAAUACCCUCGAGGAAGGACAUCACCCACAGAAGAAGCACCGGCUAACUCCGUGCCAGCAGCCGCGGUAAUACGGAGGGUGCGAGCGUUAAUCGGAAUUACUGGGCGUAAAGCGCGCGUAGGCGGUCUGAUAAGCCGGUUGUGAAAGCCCCGGGCUCAACCUGGGAACGGCAUCCGGAACUGUCAGGCUAGAGUGCAGGAGAGGAAGGUAGAAUUCCCGGUGUAGCGGUGAAGUGCGUAGAGAUCGGGAGGAAUACCAGUGGCGAAGGCGGCCUUCUGGACUGACACUGACGCUGAGGUGCGAAAGCGUGGGUAGCAAACAGGAUUAGAUACCCCUGUAGUC
rnacentral:rRNA from 1 species